UACAGAGGUCCCAAGCGUUGUUCAGAUUCAUUGGGCGUAAAGGGUGCGUAGGCGGCGCGGUAAGUCGGGUGUGAAAUCUCGGGGCUUAACUCCGAAACUGCAUUCGAUACUACCGUGCUUGAGGACUGGAGAGGAGACUGGAAUUUACGGUGUAGCGGUGAAAUGCGUAGAUAUCGUAAGGAAGACCAGUGGCGAAGGCGGGUCUCUGGACAGUUCCUGACGCUGAGGCACGAAGGUCAGGGGAGCAAACGGG
rnacentral:rRNA from 1 species